UACGGGGGGGGCAAGCGUUGUUCGGAAUUACUGGGCGUAAAGGGCUCGUAGGUGGCCAACUAAGUCAGGCGUGAAAUCCCUCGGCUUAACCGGGGAACUGCGUCUGAUACUGGAUGGCUUGAGUUUGGGAGAGGGACGCGGAAUUCCAGGUGUAGCGGUGAAAUGCGUAGAUAUCUGGAGGAACACCGGUGGCGAAGGCGGCGUCCUGGACCAACACUGACACUGAGGAGCGAAAGCCAGGGGAGCAAACGGG
rnacentral:rRNA from 1 species